rnacentral:rRNA from 1 species
GACGAACGCUGGCGGCGUGCUUAACACAUGCAAGUCGAACGGAAAGGCCUUUUCGGAGGUACUCGAGUGGCGAACGGGUGAGUAACACGUGGGUGAUCUGCCCUGCACUCUGGGAUAAGCCUGGGAAACUGGGUCUAAUACCGGAUAGGACCGCACUUUAGUGUGUGUGGUGGAAAGUUUUUUCGGUGUAGGAUGAGCCCGCGGCCUAUCAGCUUGUUGGUGGGGUAAUGGCCUACCAAGGCGGCGACGGGUAGCCGGACUGAGAGGUUGGUCGGCCACAUUGGGACUGAGAUACGGCCCAGACGCCUACGGGAGGCAGCAGUGGGGAAUAUUGCACAAUGGGCGCAAGCCUGAUGCAGCGACGCCGCGUGGGGGAUGACGGCCUUCGGGUUGGAAACUCCUUUCGCCAGGGACGAAGCGUUUUGUGACGGUACCUGGAGAAGAAGCACCGGCUAACUACGUG